UGUAUAUAAAUAUUCACGAGUAUAUACGCACACUUUUGUAAUCCUCUUCAUAUUUCGCUCGUAUUAUCUAUACUUUAUAGGUUACGUAAGUCGAACUGCUUGCGAGUGGAAGAUUCAUGAAGAAAAUGCCAGGAAACUUGCAAGCUCAAAGAAAAUUCGACAAGAUAGCAAAAACCAAAAAAAAAUCCUGCCAACAUUCCACAACCACAGAAUCGGCAACCUUAUUCUCUACCCCUCGGUGCCUUGCGUUUAAUCUUUUUCAGACCAUAAGUCGCUUUCCGUCCAGUGAUAUGGUUCUUUGAAACAUUAUAAUCAAUGCUUUCCUUCUGAAUCCAAGAAAUUACUGUUGAAAAUUUCCCAACUGGAAUUUUUUGGCAGCUGUUGUUUGAAUUUUCUAUCGACCGCUUGAGGAAUGUCAACUUGAGUUUCUCAUCGGUACUUGAAACAAGACCGUAACGGUUCCACAAAAAUGAUGCGAUCCCAACUUUCGCAAUGAAAUUUUGAUUUAAAAAAACAACCAAUAAUUUCAGUAUUUUUGAAUCUAAAUUAGCCACUCCGAUUAGCAUAGACUUUUGAACGAAUUUCAUUAACUUGAGGCUUGAAUAUAACGUUAUUGGUGCCACAUCAAUUAACAAACUGUGGUCCUGUUAAGCUUUUUUUCUAGAUAUAAAUUUUAAUAGCAAAUUUACUUUGAGUGAUAGAAAAGUUAAGUCGAUAUUGGACAAUAGAAGAGCCGGACCUUACGCAAUUUUGGAAAAUUACAUUCUAAGAAAAAUGCGUCCAAAUUUUUCGUUGGACGUCACUCGUCGCUCAUAGCACAACAAUAAAAUUUGCACGUCAAAAAAUAUGAAAAA